rnacentral:lncRNA from 1 species
GAUGUGAAAAUUGAAUUAAUGGGUUGUUUUAUAAUGAUGUCACUGGUCUCCAUAUUAUAAUUAUUCAUACUUGAAUUAUUCACUUUAGGCUCACUUUGAAGAAUGUUUGUCCAAGAAAGGAAAGGACUCUAGAAUCAGUUGGUCAAGUCCAACAGUUAAAAAAACACUAAAAUAAAGAUUUGCUUGUGGUUCGUCAGGGUAUGAAUCUCUUCUUGAUCAAGGAUUUCCUUUACCGUCGCUGAGGACACUGCGUAGGAAAACUGAAUUUUUGAGGUUUAAAAUAACAACCUUCAGUGAAAAAGACAAAAAUUGCGUACUAUUGAUGGAUGAAAUGGUCAUCAAAAAGUCUAAGACUAUGAUCAAAAGCUAGACUGUCUAAUGGGGUAGGUUAUUCUUCCAGAGCACACAACCAAAUAUGCAACACAUAUUCUUGUGAUAAUAAUGGCUGGAAUUGCAAGUAAAUGGAAGCAAGUUGUUAGUUAUUUCUUUACUCCAGAUUCAGUUAAUGGGUCUGUACUGCGAACAAUUACAAAGGAUGUCGUCAUAAGAGCUUCUGAAAUUAUUCUACGCGUAAGAUCAAUUACCACAGAUAUGGGUCCAUCAUAUCAGCCAAUGUUCCGUUGGUAGGGAGUUAAUUUUGGAAGAAAAAAUGAAAUUGUCAACUUCGUCCCUCAUCCAGCUAUUCUGAAAGAAAAUUUAUACUUUCUUUAUGAUGUUCCUCCUCUUCGAAAAAUCUUCGAACAUCUUUCGUAAACAAGAUUGAAAAUAUUUUGCCAUCAUUAUUUGGGGAAGAAAGACAUUUAUUUAUCAACCCAUAUUGUUUCUGUACAACAUCUUCAAAAACUAGUAGAGUUAGAAAAAGUUCAGGAAUUCAAAAGUGUGCCAAAGCUUUCUGAAAGUGUCAUAAACCCCAGCCACUUUUCAAAAAUGAAUGUUGCUGAUGCAAUGACUUUUUUCCCCAUGCAACAAGUGCAGGCCUGUGAUAUUCGACAAUCCAGGAGUAUGAUGGGUCAAUCUUAUUAAUGGCAGAAUUUAUUGAUCUGAUUUGUUGCUGGUUCGAACUCAUGACCUCUCGAUCACUGAUGAUGGCUUUAAGUCAUCAAAAUCUUGACAAAUAUAAUGAAGCUAUCCAGAGUUUAAAAAAGGUAAUUGAGGUCAUUCGUCAAUGUCAUGUAGGAAAAAACGGUUAUUGGAAGCCAUCCCAAACGGGUAUCAUUUUGUCGACAACUUCCAUCCUUCAGUUGCACAAGGAACUCCUUGAUGAAGGAUUUUCAUUCAUUUUAACUUGAAGAUUUACUCAAGAUGCCGUGGAAAAUUUAUUCAGCCUUAUUAGGUACAAGAGCCAAACUCCAACAUCAUUAGAGGGUCAAAACAAUCUAAGAAUAAUUGGUUUAAAUCAGUUCAUGAAGGAAAAGAGAUCUUCCCAUUAUCAAUAUGAUGAUGACAAACAUCUAAUCGAUUUCUUAGAUGAUUUAAAAGAAGGAAGAAAUAAAUCUGACGAAGUGGAUAAUGCAUUUUUUCUUCAAGAACUAACUCCUCAGCUAGAAGAAGAUACUGUGUUGUCUGAACAACAAACUAAUGUUUUAUAUUAUAUUACAGGCUAUAUUUAAAACCAAAUAAAGACAUAUCAGUCUG